rnacentral:rRNA from 1 species
CAUGCAAGUCGAGCGAACAGAUAAGGAGCUUGCUCCUUUGACGUUAGCGGCGGACGGGUGAGUAACACGUGGGUAACCUACCUAUAAGACUGGGACAACUUCGGGAAACCGGAGCUAAUACCGGAUAAUAUGUUGAACCGCAUGGUUCAAUAGUGAAAGAUGGUUUUGCUAUCACUUAUAGAUGGACCCGCGCCGUAUUAGCUAGUUGGUGAGGUAAYGGCUCACCAAGGCAACGAUACGUAGCCGACCUGAGAGGGUGAUCGGCCACACUGGAACUGAGACACGGUCCAGACUCCUACGGGAGGCAGCAGUAGGGAAUCUUCCGCAAUGGGCGAAAGCCUGACGGAGCAACGCCGCGUGAGUGAUGAAGGUCUUAGGAUCGUAAAACUCUGUUAUUAGGGAAGAACAAACGUGUAAGUAACUGUGCACGUCUUGACGGUACCUAAUCAGAAAGCCACGGCUAA